GUUCAUAACCCUUUGUUGUCCGACUCUGUUGCCUCCGGGGCGACCCUGCCUUCGGGCGGGGGCUCCGGGUGGACACUUCAAACUCUUGCGUAACUUUGCAGUCUGAGUAAACUUAAUUAAUAAAUUAAAACUUUUAACAACGGAUCUCUUGGUUCUGGCAUCGAUGAAGAACGCAGCGAAAUGCGAUAAGUAAUGUGAAUUGCAGAAUUCAGUGAAUCAUCGAAUCUUUGAACGCACAUUGCGCCCCCUGGUAUUCCGGGGGGCAUGCCUGUUCGAGCGUCAUUUCACCACUCAAGCCUCGCUUGGUAUUGGGCAACGCGGUCCGCCGCGUGCCUCAAAUCGACCGGCUGGGUCUUCUGUCCCCUAAGCGUUGUGGAAACUAUUCGCUAAAGGGUGUUCGGGAGGCUACGCCGUAAAACAACCCCAUUUCUAAGGUUGACCUCGGAUCAGGUAGGGAUACCCGCUGAACUUAAGCAUAUCAAUAAGCGGAGGAAAAGAAACCAACAGGGAUUGCUCUAGUAACGGCGAGUGAAGCAGCAAUAGCUCAAAUUUGAAAUCUGGCGUCUUCGACGUCCGAGUUGUAAUUUGUAGAGGAUGCUUCUGAGUAACCACCGACCUAAGUUCCUUGGAACAGGACGUCAUAGAGGGUGAGAAUCCCGUAUGCGGUCGGAAAGGUGCUCUACACGUAGCUCCUUCGACGAGUCGAGUUGUUUGGGAAUGCAGCUCUAAAUGGGAGGUAAAUUUCUUCUAAAGCUAAAUAUUGGCCAGAGACCGAUAGCGCACAAGUAGAGUGAUCGAAAGAUGAAAAGCACUUUGGAAAGAGAGUUAAAAAGCACGUGAAAUUGUUAAAAGGGAAGGGAUUGCAACCAGACUUGCUCGCGGUGUUCCGCCGGUCUUCUGACCGGUCUACUCGCCGCGUUGCAGGCCAGCAUCGUCUGGUGCCGCUGGAUAAGACUUGAGGAAUGUAGCUCCCUCGGGAGUGUUAUAGCCUCUUGUGAUGCAGCGAGCGCC
rnacentral:rRNA from 1 species